GUAGAGAGAGGGUUUCACCACCUUAGCCGGGAUGGUCUCCAUCUCCUGACCUUGUGAUCCGCCCACCUCGGCCUCCCAAAGUGCUGGGAUUAUAGGCGUGAGCCACCGCGCUGGGCCUGCAGUGCAUUCUAAGACAGAUUUUCUCAUACUUUGUUUUGGUCAAAUAUGUACUAACAGUAAUUGUAAUAAUUCAAUCUAGAAUAAAAACAUUUCUAACACUUAGAGUUUAUGGUCACAGGAAAUUUAAACAAAUUUCAAUUUUAGAGUGUUACAGAGAAUUAUGCAUGAGCAAAAGGAGACUUUCAUUCCUAAAGCUGUAUGAGGGUAAAUUUUGGGGGUAACGUUGUGGGUAUGGGAGUGGAAUGGAAGUACGCAUAGAAGCAGAGGUUUCUGACUGUUGUAUAGAUGUGUAUUUUUAACCAGAUGAAGGUGGGUGUCCAACUGAGUGGAAUUUACAUCCCAUUGGAUACUUUUAGAAGUGAUUUAAUAAUUUAGCUAAUAUUUUUAACAAUAGAAACCAUACUUUUUGCAACUAUUUAAAUUUAAGAUGAAAAAUGUUAGGCAUUAAGCUUGGAUAUGCAUCGAUGUAAAUUUUUUUUUAGGUACACAAGGGUAAGAAGGGUUGCACCUGGCUACUUUACACUUGUCCUUGUGAAGCAGGUGCCUACUUACCCUGGCUUUGCUCUGUCAGCUAGAUUCCCUUUCGGGGUCUGACUAGCUUUCCCUCUCCUCCUCCGCCCCUUCAUCCAGGGUGACUUUGCUGUGAAGCUGCUGGGUGAGGUGAAGGUUGGUGUGGCUUUGAUAACACUGGCCAGCUUUCGUUUAUUUAUCUGCUUUUUCCUUCCCUUCAUGUGUGUGGCCUUGGGCAGGCUCCCCUGGCUUGUCUGAGACUGAGGUCUAUUCAUCCCCACGUCUUCGUUCUCAUUUUCCUCAUAGUCAAAAGCUUUGUAAACUUCUUACUUUCUGUCGCAUUCCUCUUCAAUAGCUAGAGGUUAUACCUGGGGCUAUAAAAAUUGGUUGCUGAGAAAUUCUGAUACUGCCUGGUCCCAGUGAUUUAAUACAUCCAUUUGACAUUUUAACUCCACACCUCCUAAGUUGGGUCACUAUUUAGUACCACAAACUGCCCAUGUCGGGUUGGCUGAGAAGUGGGGCCCGUCCCUAGUGCUCCGUUUGUUGGGUUCAUUGGCCGGUAUCUUUGACUCCUCAAGGACUCCCUAACCCACCGUCUUCAAGGAGUUGCAUUAAUUCUCUGUUAUUCUGGACAUUUAAUUAGUGUGCAGAAGCACACACUAUUCGGUGCUGGAUCCUCAGAGAUGAAUCAUGCAUAGGGUCAUUUUCAGGGUGUCUCUCCACCUCUUAAGGUUGAUAGACCACGUGGCUAGCAAAUGACCUUGUUAUUGAGGAAUUCUGCAGUUAUCCUUCACCUGUUCUGAUCUGGGAGCUCUGUGUGACUGGCGGGGUUUAGUGGCUUUAGAGGAGGCUGCCCGGGUGUGUGUGGUGGAGGGAAGCCUGGCUGUGGCUGCUGUUCUGGGAACCCAUGUCGUGCCUUGGUGGUAGCAGGUCAGGCCCUGUAGCCUGGAGGGCAGCAGCAGCUGACUCUCGCUCUCAUGACGUGAACAAGAGCAGUGACGGUGGUUCAGCACCUCCAGAGGUAGGAGGGGAGUGGGACGAUCACUUGGAGUCUUCUCUGCCAUCAGCCACUGUCACUUGCAUAAGCUGGAAUCAGGCCUCCUGACCUCUGGGGCUCCACAGUGCCCGGGUGUGGCGCUGCUGCAGGAUGUGUUGGGAUGGGCAGGUGGGGGCCCAGGUGCUGCCUGCUCAGGGUUCCAAGGCUGCUGGAGCUGACUUCCUGUGGGAGUCUGCUGCAGAACCCGAAACAGGGCCUGGUGAAUGGCCAGGAAGAGCAUUCUUUAGGUCGUAUUUUUUUCCUUGAGUUCUGACACGGCCCUCCUGGGACAUCCUGCCUUCUCUUGUUCCAACCUCGUCUAUGACAUAGAUUAGUCAUGGUCACAUGGCUGUACCUCAGGGCCAAAGCACAGGUCUCUACGCUGCCUAACAUGUACUAGCCAGAUUGGAAUCUUUGCUGACUCCAAAUAUCACAUUCCAAGCUGCCCCAGGCUGUGAGAAAUGGUGGUGUUGCCUCCCAGUUGGUAGAGAAGGUUUUAGGAAGAAGCCUUGGAAGGGCUGUACAGUAAAGCAGACGGAGUUAGGGACCUGGGUUUUCCAAGGCAGUGAAGGAGACGCUGAGGCUGUGUGGGCUGUACUUGGUGCCUGCCUGAAGGGCCAAGGAAGUAAGUGGGUGCACACAUUGGGGUGGUUUCUGAGGGUAUCUUGCCAGGCAGAGAGCUCAAGUCCCUCAUCUCAGCUCUCCUAGGGAGAGGGGGAGCAGGGAAGGGCAGCUAGGCUAGGGUGGAAGAGGCAGGCUCUCCUGGUCCAGUGCCCCCUUCAGGGUUCCAGCUGUACCAGGCUUAGGCUUCAGUUGUGAGUGGAGCCCUGAGCUCAAGCAUGGAGGCGGCGUGGUUGCUCAGCUCAGCCUCUCGUCGGAAGGCCUGGCACCAGUUCCGGAAGUGCCUCACCACUAGAGAGGGUGGGGAAGGUCAGAUGCUCCAGAAUCAGCUCAUACCUGGGAGGCUCUAAGCCCAUCUUCCCCUCCCGCCUGCCCCCUGCUUAGGCCACAAAGCCUCUACGUUAUGCAGCAGAUUAAUUUGAAAAUUGAGUUGCAGCUGAAUGAGUUGAUGUCUUCAAAGUUCGGUGGUGUUUGAUUAGAGCCAUCCAGAGACUAGAUUUGCUCCCAGGAAAUGAUUCUGACCGAAUAAUUCAAGUGAAUAAAGGUUAGAUUUGUGUUUCUGGCCAAAUCUGUGUUGCAUUCAGCAUCUCCAAAACAUGAAUUCCAUUAACCUUUCAUGAACUAGCAUUACAUUACUUUCAAUUAGUUGUCAUUCUAAUUAAAGUUGAGUUAUACAGGGCAGCCUUUGUUUAUACUUGGUGGCUGUUCCCUUGCCUUCUCUGGAACUAAGUCCUCUUGAUCAAAUGGUCAUUUAGAAAGUUGGUUUUAUAACUUUGUGUCCCCCCACCCAUCACUCCGAGUCAGGACCUGUUCCUCGAGCCGAAGGAUGUGGGUCCCCACUGCAUCAGGAAGGCUUGGGGAGCACUGCUGGCUAGAUUGAACCAUGUGACUUGCAAAAAGCAAUCCCGUGGCUGUGGGAGAGGAAGUUAAGGCGUGUUUAAGGUAGGCCCCCCAGCCCAGGCAAGCUUGGGCAGGCCUUGGGGUGCCAAGUGAGGCAUGGUCUGCCCAGGUGGGACUUGGGCAGGUUGGGAGGGAAGUGUGCUGCCCCUGCGACGUCAUGACCUAGCUUAUUCUGAGUCUUUAUGCCUUGGGUGUGGAUGGCCUUGCUCCUGCCAAGGGGUAGAUGCGAGUCCUCAUCAGGGCCUGUCUGCAGCCUCAGUCUCCUGAGGGCCAGCAUUCCAUGCUCCUGUCUAGUGGCCACAGCAGGAGGGGUGGAGGGAGGACUGACAUAAACCACUGUGUCCCCCUGCAGGACUCACCCAUAACUUGUCAUCCAGCAUAUUUUUUCUGUUUUCUCCAUUGAUUAUGGAUGUGACACAUUAUAACCAAGACAGAAUCUCUAAGCCAGUGCGGGAUUCUGCAGGGUGGGGUACUUCAGGCCCUUCAAACCCAGGAUGCCAGAGGUGAGCUCUCUUUCUUUGGCUCUAGGUCUGAACAGAGGUCAGAGGUGCCGACCACUUGCCCCACCUUUGCCAUCAGUAGCCCCUGAAGCACAAAUCAUUCCUUCUGCAGUGUGCUGCGCAGUGGAGACACGGAGAAAGGCGACACUGCUCCUGGCCUCCUGUGCUUGCAGAAUGAUGAGCAGUCAGAGGGUAGCAGAGCGGCCCAGUGCAGGGCCAGGCCCUGGGAAGGCAAGAGGAGUGGCAGAGAAGUCCCCGCCGGGGCGCUGUUGAACUUGCACCUCAUACCUGGGAGAUGGUACCGCUUCGGCACAGAUGGCACCUAAACCCACCUCCACUCACUGGAAAUGCUUUCAUGGGAGGCAGUCAUUCUCCGCCCUGAGUGAAAACUGUUUCCUGAGGCCUUCUCCACCAUAGCCAGUGGUUAGAGCCCUGCUGUCAGAUUCCUCACUGGCCCUCCGACAGGCUGACUGCCAGGUGGGGAUGGAGUUGGAUCACACCAAGGCUCCAGGGUCUUGGGGAGGGCUGAGUCCUAUCUGGGGGGUUCUUGGCUCCGCUCAGAGUUAAUCAUCUUCUUCAUGGAAAUGUCCAAGCCCGGCAAACAUUUCUGCUAGUGAUUCCGGUGAGGAGAUGAUCACGGGCAGCACAGGGCGGGCCACAUGAACACAGGUCUUGCUGACAGAGCCAGGAUCUGUUGCUCUCGUAGAAAGCCUGGUCACCUCAUCUCAGUUCGGGAGCAGUCUUGAGAGGGCUCUGCUGAAGAAAGUGAAACUCUGCUCUUUCUGCUGAAGAAAGUGAAACUCUGCUCUUCCUUUCCAUUUGAUGAAUUCUGAAUAAGGGAAGCUGAUUCAUCCCAGACACCCGAGGAAAGGCGGAGGCUGGAUGGCUUCAGGAUAGGGCAUCUGAGGAGGAGUGAGUACCGACGAUACAUCAACCAGAAGCAAAACAAGGAGGGAGAAGGGGCGCUGUGGCCCCCGCGGUCGGGAGAGAGACACGGAAAGGCUGUCUCCGCCUUGCAUGCGUGCCAGGAGCGUGGGGAGCAGCGUUAUGGAUCAAGAGGGGCGGACCAGAAGAUGAAUUCUCAGUGCUCCCCGGUCAUCUCUUAUCCCUGUGGUCCCAGAUGUUGAGCUUCACAGUCAUACCCCAGACUGACCCUCCCUUGCCUAGGCUUCCCUCAUGGCCACACCAUGCUAGGAGUUCUCCCGCAGGGACCUGUGAUAGCAGAGUGGGCGCUAGAAAGCCAGUGGGCACCGCGUGGUCCCACGGUCCGCACUGCCCCCUCUGACCCGUUGGGGGAGCACUGCAGGUGCACAGGUGCAGGGAGAGUUUCAAAAGGCUUCGUGGUAGUAGGGUUUAUUUUCUUCUCCAUAUUCCCUUCAAAAGCAUAGAAAGGUAAAGUUUCUACAUUAUUAUGUAAAUUUUUUGAGACUCACAGGAAGUUGCAAAAAUAGUAGAGUCCCAUGAACCCUUCCCUCUGCUUCCCCCAGUGGUGACAUCUUACUUAACUAUGAGACAGGAAGGUGGCAUUGGAAGGACACAGCAGUCCAAACCACAGGCUUCCUUGUUUUCAGCAGUUCGGUGUACAGUCUGUGGAAUCCGACCCCACAUGUAGACUCAUGCGGCGGCCACCCUACGCAUCGCUACCACAGAGGAAUCCCCUUGUGCCACCCCUUUGUAGUUGCCUCCCCUCCCUUCCAGCCCUGUCCCCUGCAGUCACUAGUGUGUUCUGUAUCUCUGUAGUUUUGUCAUUUCAAGAGUGGUGUAUCAAUGGGAUGCAGUUUGUAAACUUUUGAGAUGUGCUGUUUGUCACUGGUGCUCCUGCCCGUGAGCACCAUUGCGUGUGCAUGUGUCCACAGCCCUUUUUCUUGCUAAGUAGUAGUCCACUGUGUGGGCUGCACGUCACUUGGUUUUUCUGUGAAGAUUCCAGAAGUGGCAACAUCACUUUUUAAAUAUUGAGAUUCAGCCUUUUGGAGUGUUGAUUCUAGAAUUUAAGCAAUGGGUAGAUGGUUUCAGUAGGUGAUCAAUCCAAGAUUCCUUAGGAAUAAUUUACUUUGUACAUUUUCCAUUAUAGCAUCUAGUUACAAUUUUCUAAUUUUGAGGGAACGUGACUUUGCUCUAAACCAGUUCUAAAAUAUACAAAGUUUGUUUUUACAACCUUUCUAGAGUGUAUGCUCCGUGAGGGCAGGAGCUACUCUUUCUCAUUUUGGGAUUCCUUGCUGAGCCCCACACAGUUCCUUGCCCUAGGCAGGUUCUUAAUAUAUAUGUGAUGAAUGGGUGCUUCCUUUAGAUCCUCAGUUCCACACAAACUCCCCAGGAUUCACACUGGCUGCCACUUUGAAGGUGGUAGCAACACAAUGUGUGUUGCAGAGAGACUAAAUUCCGUAGAAGAGGAGCUGCUGUAAGGCAGCUGACUUACGUUUGUCAAUUGAAACAGAGCUCUACAGUGACGGCUCCAGCUUCUGGUUUCCCUGCUUCUAACCAGGUUAUCAAGUCAUUCCAACCCAGUGUCGGCCCAACGGGCAUCACUGUUGACAGUGGCAGGCUCCGGAGUCCCCUGUGAUCUUUCCUAGGAGGCACAAGGGCUUGGUUACUGUGAUCAGUCAAGCAUGGGAUGGGAUGACCAGGCUUUGCAUAUUAGGAAAUUCCUUAUCCUCCCUGAGGCCCUUUCCCUUUCGUCGGGCACUCACUUUCUUCUCAGUGCUUUCAAUGAGAUCUGAUGAAAGGACACCCUGUCAGGAGUCAGUGUCGGCCUCUGGAAUCGAUUUUGUUGAAUCCCACUGAGAUAGUCAUCAUCAGCAGUGGUCCAUAUUCAUUUGUCAGUGGAUGGCUCCUCAGGAAAAUCUGUUUUCAGGCGUACAGGAUUAUGUUGGUAAAAGGGAGAAGAGACGGAAGAUCAAAGUUCUGUGGCUGAGCAUGGAGUUGGCCCAGCCUCCCAACACUUGCCACAGGAAGUGAGCGAUGGGGAACGAGGAUGAAGUGGAAAAAGCACUUGGCCAAUGAUGGAGAGAAGCUGUCACGCUGAGCUCAGUGAAAUGGAAAUUGCCCAAAGCCUGGAAAAUAAGUGCAUAUAACCUACAGCAGACGAGCAUGGCAGCUGGCUGCGCGGACUCUGGAGGUGGGAGUACCUGGCUUCAACUCAUAGCUCAGCCAAUAGGCUUCUCUGUACCUCAAGUUUCUUCAUCUGUGAAAUGGAGAUAAUGGAAUUUAGUAUUUUGAAAAGAUUGAGUUCAUACAUGUUAAACACAUGAAGUGUUAACUGUUUUCAUUGAAUAGCAUUUAGUCAUGGGGCUGGACCAUAUUUUAAUCAUUGAGCACCUUUUAUUUCAGCCUACUUCUUCAUGUUUUUGUCCUUUGAGACACAGAAGUGGUGUCCUAUAGGUUUUCUACCAGAUUUCUGAAUUGUUAAGUUGUUUAUUUUCAAGUUAAGGAUGCUGUUUGAAAAACUGCAUUCUGGCCAGGUGCAGUGGCUCAUGCCUGUAAUCCCAGCACUUUGGGAGGCUAAGGCGGGCGGAUCACAAGGUCAGGAGAUCGAGACCAUCCUAACACAGUGAAACCCCGUCUCUACUAAAAA